rnacentral:rRNA from 1 species
CGGCGUGGAGUAACCUGCCUUGGAGUGGGGAAUAACAGUUGGAAACAGCUGCUAAUACCGCAUAAUAUGUCUGUGUCGCAUGGCACUGGGCAUCAAAGAUUUAUCGCUCUGAGAUGGACUCGCGUCUGAUUAGCUAGUUGGCGGGGUAACGGCCCACCAAGGCGACGAUCAGUAGCCGGACUGAGAGGUUGGCCGGCCACAUUGGGACUGAGACACGGUCCAAACUCCUACGGAAGGCAGCAG